rnacentral:lncRNA from 1 species
UCUAAAACACUGUAUAUUAUUAUUGCUGUUCAGUUGUUUCAGUUUUGUCUGAUUCUUUGUGACCCCAUUUGGGGUUUUCUUGGCAAAGAUGCUGUAGUAGUUUCCCUUUUUCUUCCCCUGCUCAUUUGACAGAUGAGGAAAAUGAGGGAAACAGAGUCAAAUGGGUUACCCAUGGUCACUUGGCUAGAGAAGUAUCUGAGGGUAGAUUUUAACUCAAAAAGAUGAGUCUUCUUGACUCCAGGCUCAGCACUCUAUCCACUGUGCCUCCUAGCUGCCCCAAUAUGCUAGAUAAAUGCCAGCUAUUCCUAUCAUUGUGUUGGUAUUAACUCUAAUGUGAUAUAAUGUGGAAUGAGCAUUGAUUACCAGGGGACUUGGGUUUAAACAUUGUUUUUGGCUCUACCUUGGAUAAGUCACUUAAUCACUUAACUUCCCUGGGUUACAUUCUCCCUCUCUCCCCAUCCCUCUGUCUUGGCAUCUCUCUUUUUUUCUUUCUUUCCAUCCAUUCACCUAUUGGUGAAUUAGCCCAACAAUCUGCUCAUCCAGCUACCUGUCCAGAAAAUGUGCAUUUUUAUCCACUUUGUUUUUCCAAAGUAGAUGGAUUUCACCGCAAAGGCUCUGAGGUGCUUAACCCAAUUAGAACAAUAUGAUCUCUCAAUAGGAAUAUUAGAGAACAUCCCUAUCAUGGUGAAUUUUCCCCCUCUGUUUGGAUUCCAGGCAGGAUAUAGAAUUCUAGAUCUAAGGAAAAGGUUCAUAUUCUCUGGUCUAAUUGUAGAGGCAUGGAAACUGAGGCCAAGCAAGCUAGGAUAAAUUGUCCAAGGCCAUAUAAGUGUUCUCAGUGGAUCAUUGAACAGAGUUAUCUUUGGAGCUGUACCUGUUUAAAAAGCUCUAUUCCCACUCAAAGACUUUGUGAUUCUGGGUAUCUGAGUCACAAAUUAACGUACGACCUUUGGAACCUGGAGAGUGGAUUUGAAAGUUUCAUAUUAUUCCCUGAAACUAAGAAAGAAGAUUUUGAUCCUUCUGGGGUUGACAUCCUCAUGGGUCCAAAGCUCACCACAUUUCCAGGGUAAUGCCUGAUCAGAGGAAAUAGAUGGAAAGACCCAGCCUAGAAUGAAACCAGACUCUGCAAAGGGUUUUUUUGAGUGCUUUAUUUCCUAGAGGGACAAAAGCAAAAGGUACUUUCUCGACAGACAAAUGUGAGGCCUGGAAGUUCUCUGUUUCCCUAGAUGACAGUGAUGACAUAGGGAAAGUAUGCAUUCGCCUGUUGGAAAAUACCUAGAAGCUUAUGCUGGCAGACAUCACCUACUUCUGACUGCCCUCCAUUCUCAUAGCCUGAAUCCCAGCUGCUCUCCCAUUGUAUAUUCUCAAAAGAGAAUUUGUUGUUGUUCAGUCAUGUCCAACGCUUCGUGACCCAUUUGGGGUUUUCUUGGCAGAGAUACUAGAGGGGCUUGCCAUUUCUUUCUCCAGAUCAUUUUACAGAUGAGAAAACUGAGGUAAACAGGGUUAAGUGACUUGCUUAAGAUCACUUAGCUAGUAAAUAUCUGCAGCCAGAUUUGAACUCAGAAAGAUGAAUCUUCCUUACUCCAGCCCCAGCACUCCAUCUACUCUCUCUCCUAAAAGAGAAUAGCUGGUCUUCUCUCCUGGAGCCCCCAUCUCUGGUUAAGAGGAAGGAUGGUACCCCCAACCAUUUAGGCAGCUUCAGCUGCCUCUUAGUUCCCCAUUUUGAAAUUAUUGAUUAUUGUGUGGGAAGGGAAGGGGAGGGGAGGGGAGGGAAGAGUGACAGUAAUGGAGGUAAGGAUCAAGGUGUCUAAAAAGCCUCAGGAGAUCACUAGAGGAGUUGGAUAAUAAACAGCUUCCAUUUUCAAAUCA